rnacentral:lncRNA from 1 species
ACCUUUGGAAAAUAGCCCCUCCCAAUUCUGUAUGUUUCUGUUGGAACUGCAGGACAUCAAACCUCAUCCACAUUAGCCACAGAAGUGGGUACAGAAACCAACCCACCAAUCAAAACAUCCCCUCUCCCCUUACCACAGGUAUUGGUUCAAAGGGUGGUCAGAUGGUCUAGGGAAGACCAAUUAGAGUUCAUCCCUGGCAUUUUACAUCUGUAUCCUGAGAGACUGAUUUGGAAUAUCCAAGCUUCAAGUUUGCUGAAUUCAUAUCUACUCUCUCUCAGAAGCCAUCUGGCCAAUAAGCAGAGAGUGGAGCCCAGCAAAGAGAUGGGCUUGAAGAAACAAAGUAACUUAACCAAGUGAUCAAACCAGGAUUGAGUCUUGUUCAUCAACUCCUGAGCUACCUUCGUGGAAGAUGACGAGCAGCCUGCAUCCAACGACUGGUCUGUCAGGAGCUCAUCAAGGCCGAGCAUUGGGACAACUCUGAAGAGCCAUCCAGCUUCAGGGCUCUCUGUGAAAUGGGGCCUUUUGCACCUGUGUGGCAGCCCAUCUGAUAUGGUUUGGGAUCUGUGUUUUUAACAUGCUAUACGGGGUUGUAGCCUAGCAGCAAUAGGUUACACCAUAUAUCCUGUGCACAGGUGCACAGUAGGCUAUAACACUAAGGUCUGUGUAAGUACAUGCUAUGAUGUUUGCACAACUAUAAAAUCACCUAAUGAUGCCUUUCUCAGAGCUUAUCCCUACCAUUAAAUGAUGCAUGAUUAUCUCUC